GACGAACGCUGGCGGCGUGCCUAAUACAUGCAAGUCGAACGAGUGGCGGACGGGUGAGUAACCCGUGGGAACCUAUCCAUCAGAGGGGGAUAGCACUUGGAAAACGGCGCUAAUACCGCAUACUGAUGGCUGGACCCGCUUUGCAUUAGCCAGUUGGUGGGGUAACGGACUACCUAGGCGACGAUCCCUAGCUGGGCUGAUGGGAUGAUCAGCCACACGGGAACUGAGACACGGCCCAGACUCCUACGGGAGGCAGCAGUGGGGAAUAUUGCACAAUGGGCGCAAGCCUGAUGCAGCAAUGCCGAGUGUAUGAAGAAGGCCUUAGGGUUGUAAAGUACUUUCAGUCGGGAGGCGUGACCGACAGAAGAAGCACCGGCUAACUCCGUGCCAGCCGCCGCGGUAAUUC
rnacentral:rRNA from 1 species